rnacentral:rRNA from 1 species
UGGGGAAUUUUGCACAAUGGGGGAAACCCUGAUGCAGCGACGCCGCGUGAUUUAGAAGGCCUUCGGGUUGUAAAAAUCUUUUCUAUGGGAAGAAAAUGACAGUACCAUAGGAAUAAGGACCGGCUAAUUACGUGCCAGCAGCCGCGGUAAUACGUAAGGUCCGAGCGUUGUCCGGAAUCAUUGGGCGUAAAGGGUACGUAGGCGGGUAAGCAAGUUAGAAGUGAAAUCCUAUAGCUCAACUAUAGUAAGCUUUUGAAACUGCUCAUCUUGAGGUAUGGAAGGGAAAGUGGAAUUCCUAGUGUAGCGGUGAAAUGCGCAGAUAUUAGGAGGAAUACCGGUGGCGAAGGCGACUUUCUGGCCAUAACCUGACGCUGAGGUACGAAAGCGUGGGUAGCAAACAGG